rnacentral:lncRNA from 1 species
UUUAAUUUCAGUUGGCCAUAUUUAAUUAGUGUAUGCCCUCUAGUUUUAUAGCCAACCAAACAAGGCCACUGGCUUCUUCUGCACCAUACUAUUGUACGCAUUCUGUACUCAAAACUCAAAUAUCAUGAACUCUGAUCUGUACGAGGCUGCUGCAAAGGGGGAAAUUGAACCCUUCAACCAAUUGGCGAUAGAUCGUCAACUUGUAAACCUAGUGACUCACAAAAAGAAUACCGUCCUGCACGUCAACAUCAUUGCAUCCUACACCCAGAAUAAAGAAGGAGAAAGUGUCUCAACCAAGUUCGUGGAGCUGGUACUUGAAACGUGUCCAUCAUUGCUACUACAAGUUAAUGCCAAAGGUGAUUCUCCACUCCAUGUUGCGGCCAGAUGCGGGCAUGCUGCUGUUGUGGAAGCUCUGAUUGAAUUUGCGGAAAAACAGCCCGGUCAAGAGCUGGAAAGCGGCGGGGAAAGUACAGCAAGGCAUAUGCUAGGGAUGAUAAAUGAUGAAGAAAACACGGCGUUGCACGAGGCAGUGCAAAGUGGUAGCCUUGAUGUCGUGAAAGUUUUAUUGGAAGCAGACCCGGCUUUUCCGUAUUCUGCUAACUGUAGCGGUGAAACUCCACUUUACUUGGCAGCCGCGAGGGGACAUAAGAAGAUAUCAGCUGAAAUAUUAGAAAAAUGUCCGUCACCGGCCCAUGAAGGCCCCAAUGGAAAGACUGCCCUUCAUGCAGCAGUCUGCAGUGCCUCUCUCGGUAUGGAUGCGCAUGCUUUCGUACAAAAUUUAAUACCAUAAUUGUUUUUUAAAUUGUUCGGUUUUUUAAUAAAAUUUUUAAAGAUUAAAUAAUUUAUUCUAAUAAAAACAUAAAUUUUAACCUUUUAAUAACAGAGUUUGAAAACUUUUUAAAAUAUUUAAAUAUCUAAAAUAUUUUUUAUUUGUUUGACAAUUUAUUUUAUAACAUAAUUUUAAAAAAAUUAUUCAUUAAAAUAAUUUUAUAAUUUUAAUCAAUUUUUUAUUGGCAAUCAAAAAAUUAAAUUUUUUUUGAUAAAAAUUUUACUAACAGGAACUAUUCUUAAAUGGAUUUUAUUUUAAAAAUAAUAUCAAACAUAAGCUUAGUUGUUUAAUUUUCUUUUCUUUUUAGGUGUGAUAAGACUAUUACUCGAUAGAAAGAAUUUGACCAGAGAAAGAGACCGACACGGUUGGACUCCACUCCAUUACGCUGUGUAUAUUGGUCACGGUUGGACUCCACUCCAUUACGCUGCGUAUAUUGAUCGCUUAGUCAUCUCAUUCCGUUUAUUAAAAGCUGAUAAAUCUGCUGCGUUGAUUGCUGACGAAGAUCGGAAGAUGACAGCUCUUCAUUUAGCAGCCGGCCAAGGGAAUGUUGAGAUGGUAGAAGAUAUUAUUGACCAUUGUCCGGAAUGUUGUGAAUUGGUUGAUGUCAGAGGGUGGAAUGUUCUUCACUUUGCUAUGGUUAGUUUUGAUAAAAGUGACUUGAAACGUCUGCUGAACAAAUAUCCGGUGGUCAAAAAUCUAAUUUUUGAGAAGGAUGAGAAGGGGAACACUCCCUUCCAUGUGCUUGCUGCUGUCUGUCCGCAUCCAGGCAAAGCCCGCUAUGACAUCAUCCCUUACAAAAUUGCUAAAGGUUAUUAUCAAGCUGUCAACAAGCAAAAUAUUAGUGUUGAACACAUAAAUCGUUAUGGAUUUCCUGAACUCGAGGUACCUAAUUCCUUUUUUUAACUCAUCAUUGUUAUAGUUUUUAUAUGGAUAUGAGUAAUGAAAUUAGAUUUUGAUUUAUGUUAAUUUUUUCUAGAUCUUUUGUAAAGGGUUUUUUUAUAACAAUUAUUUAUUUAGGAUUCAAUUAUAUGCAUUUGUUAUAUGAUACGUAAACAAAACAUUAUUGAUUCUGAUAUCAUAUAUGAAAUUAAUUUUCAGCAUAUUAAUUAAUAAAAUGUAUAGUCCAGCGCGUUGAUGUUGUUGCCAAGUCAAUUUUUCCUCCCUCUUCCCCCACUUUUUUUUUCUUUUUUAAACUUACUUUCUUCUUGUUACAUUUAUAAUUUAGCAAAUAUGAUUGCAGAAAGAAAUCAAAGAAUUGGCCAAAGCUGAUGGCAAUGGACAAUAUCCAGCCGGUGUCAUCAAAAUGAACAAAGAAAUAAAAAUAAAAAUAAAAAAAGUAAAGAGUCUGAUUUAUUCGUAUUGGAAAUAUUUAGAUGACGAUGUCAUUGGAAUGGAAAAAGCAUCAGAAUAUCAUUUGGUAGUGGCAGCACUCAUAGCAACAGUAACCUUUGCUGCGGCAUUCACCUUACCCGGUGGUUACAAGAGUGACACUGAAGACGGCCCAAACAGGGGCACUGCAAUUCUCAGUAAAAACGAUCCCAUUUCACGACAUUCACUAUAAAGGCCAUAGUCCUAAUACCCAAUACCAAAAAACACAGAAUAUUCAUGCAAUGCGCAUAGAACUUAAAUAACCUUCAGGGUUUAAAGAGAAAUUAGAACCUGCAAAUGACCACAGAACUAGAACUGAACUAAGAUGAAGAGAUCAAGUGAUGGGUGGGUUUAAAUAGAAAAAAAAAAGAAUAUUCUAGCAUCAGAUGAUGAUGUAAUGGGAUCGUUAUAUUGUAUAUAGCGUACUCUGGAUUCAAAUUUUAAUGAUGAAAAGUUUGACCUGUGUUUGUUCUUCACUGAGCUUGAGUCGGACAAAAUUGAUAUGUUCGAAACUCUCUGCAAACGCACUUUUAUGCUAUCUUAUACUUUCAUGUUGUCAUAUCACUCAAGUCCUGCAAAGUUUUUAACAUUUUAAUGUUUUAACAUUAAUUCACUUGCAAAAAUAUUAAGAUCUAAAGCCCCACAUGGAAAGUUGAUUUUUAAACUAAUUAAAUUUUACCCAUAAUUUCACAAAUAGUUAGUAUCAGAAUAUGAUUUCACAAUUAUUUAUUUAGGAUUCAAUUAUACGCAUUUCUUUUGCCGUGUAUAAAUAAAACAUUAUUGAUUCUGAUAUCAUAUAUGAAAUUAAAUUUUAAUAUAUUAAUUAAUAAAUUGUAUUGUCCAGCGCGUAGAUGUCAAAGCCAAGUCAAUUUUUCCUUCCCUUUUCUUUUUUUUUUAUUUUUUUCAUUCUUAAGCUUGUUUUCUUUUAGUUACAUUCAUAAUUUGGCAAAUAUGAUUGCAGAAAGAAAUCGAAAAAUUGUCCGAAGCUGAUGGGAGUGGAAACUAUCCAGACGGUGUCGUAAAAAUCAACAAAAACAAAAAGCGUGUGAUUUAUUCGUAUUGGAAAGAUAUAGAUGAAGAUGUCAUUGGAAUGAAAGACGCAUCAGAAUAUCAUUUGGUAGUGGCAGCACUCAUAGCAACAGUAACCUUUGCUGCGGCAUUCACCUUACCCGGUGGUUACAAGAGUGAUACUGAAGAUGGCCCAAACAGGGGCACUGCAAUUCUCAAUAAAAACGUAGCUUUCCAAACAUUCGUUAUAUCAGACACUAUAGCCAUGGUCCUCUCACUUUCUGCUGUUUUUGUCCAUUUCAUUCUGUCACUUAAGUUUUUUAAAAAACUCAUCUUUUUAUUCGUUUUUGCUCUUUGCUUCACCUUAGUUGCCAUGGCGGCAAUGAUAGUAGCAUUUGUUACGGGCACAUAUGCAAUGCUGGCAACACCUUCUUUGUGGCUUGCCAUUGUUACUUGUAUCAUUGGCUUGACCUUCUUCCUCUUGGUGAUUUUCAUGUUUUACAUGGUUAUUUCAAAAGCAGAGGAAAAGUUAUUGUAUACCUCUCUCUAGUACUAUAAUUAUGUUAGCAUCAUCCCACUGUUAUGAUCUGGAGUUAUAAGUUGUGAUUGAAAUUUGUUACACUAUCUUAUUUGGUGUAUUGCUUCAAGGUUGUAAAACGUACUAAGAGCUUGAAAGAAAUGAUAUCAUCUAUUUAUGAUGCAGGAUUAGUUGUUGCAUAAGCAUUCCAAAUUAAUUUUAAUCAGGGAUCUUCACCGGCGGAAUGAGUAUUAGUUAUUCGAAUGGGUAAUGUUUCUUCUUAGCCUAAUUAAGUGGAGAAACAAAUUUGAUAUUUCAAAUUGUGAAGAGCUUUUUUCUUUUGGAAAUUCUACCAUCAAAAUCAAUUAUAGAAUUCGAAAAAUAUUCUAGUUUUGCAAUGUCUACAGUCUACUUAUGAAUUGCAUAAAGGAUAGAGCUGCAGACCUGCAGUUAGACAUAAGUUGACAAAGUUCGUACGAACGUACAGCCAGAUUCCAACUGCUAAUUUACACUUGCAUCUAAAUUUAAAAAUCAGCUAAUUACAAACCUGAUAACCAGCUGCUAACAGUUUCCACUUUCAAGAGCUUGAGAAGGUCAACUGAAAAUUGCAAGUAUUCAAAUGGUGAUAAAAAAGAGAUUCUUUUGAUAUGUUAUCCAGGUGCAAAAAUAAAAAAUGUCGCUUGAUGAUGAAGUAAAAGAACUAAAACCGCCGCAACAAACUGUGGCGGCCACACUCGUAGCAACAGUUACCUUAGCUGCGGGGUUCAUAUUACCCGGUAGUUACUGGGCUCAAGAAGGCCCAAUUCCCAGCACUCCAAUUCUCAGAAAAAAUGCAGCUUUUCAAGCAUUUGUUCUAGCUAAUGCCAUGGCCAUGGUCCUCUCCCUUUCAGCUGUCUUUUAUCCAUUUCCUUACUUCAACUAAGACCCUUCGGCAAAUGACGUUUCUUGUCAAUGUGGCUCAUUGUUUCAUCCCGGCUUCCAUGUUAGCAAUGACGGUUGCAUUUGUUACAGGAACAUCCCCAGUGUUGGCACCUUCUGUUGGGCUUUCCGUUGCUACUUGUGCCUUGGCUUGACCUUCAUCCUCUUUGUGCUUUUCGCCAUGUUCAAGUUUGCUUAUGGAUUGGCGCAAAGGUUGCUGGUGAGCUUCAUCCUCUUUGUGCUUUUCGCCAUGUUCAAGUUUGCUUAUGGAUUGGCGCAAAGGUUGCUGGGCUUCAUGAUAUAAUUAGAAAAAAAAAAAUCUCCAUGUUGGAGAAAUUAGCAUGUUUCUGUCUCUGUUUCUAGUAGUUAAUAUGUAAUUUCCAUCUCUUCAAUCUUUAUUCUCAGUGUUAUAUAUUAUGUGUAUACACCACUACAACUGAGAUUGUACCUAAUCCUCUUUUGUGUUGAGCUAUUAUCAUCAAAAGAGGAUUAAGUACAAAUACAAGGUCAACAUGAAAUUGAAAGUAGCAUAUUAGCAUUUCAACAUUAGUAAUUAAUUAAAAUACUUUUUAUAUUGUAUUGGUGAAAACUCUGUAAUAUAAGGGUAAUAUAAUCAAUUUUAUCAAGUGUUAAUGUGUUAGGAGCUUAUUUACAAAUAGAUAAUAAUUUCUAAAAGAUAUGCAGUGAGUCUAGUUUUAGUACUCUAUUCUCAUAAACUUUUCCUUCUCUGAUUCCACCUUUUUGAAUUCUUGAACUUGGGCUGGCUUAUGGUAUCGAAACUGAAUAAACUUACUAACAUAGACUCAAUUGCAAGUCUCAAAUCAUUUCUUUUUCUAAUUUGUAUAACCAAAAUUUUGUAAAAAAUAAAGCUUAUAUAAAAUAAUCAUACGUUUUCAUUGCAUCUUGAUACAAAUUGUUUCUUAACAGAAUGAUUGAGAAAAUAUAUAAGAGACAAUAAUGAAAUUUUCAAUUUUCAAAUUAGGGAAUUGCAAAUUGCAAUGCUGAGACAGCAAAAUAGCUUAGGUAAAUCAAUAUGCAACAAAACAAAAGAUAAUAUCCAUCAUUUCUAUUUCUAAUAUACUGAGAAACUAGCCUUCUAGGCUUAUAUAAUCGUAGCAGCUACAUAUUCAUAAGAUAUUUUUAAAAAAUAAUAAUAAUUUAUAUAAACAUCCUGUUGCUUAUACUGCAAGCAAAUGCAAGUCCAUUCACUACACCUGCAUAAUAUGUACAAGCAUUUACAAGUUAAUAUCAUCAGUUCCAUCCCGACCAGAUAAUGAAACUGGUCCAAGUGAUUCACCUUCUACUCUACCAAAUACCAAAUAUUUCUUUUUUAGAUUUCUCCCUUCGUCAAUCCAUUGCACUGCAGUCACCAAGAACUGGACCACUAAGCCAUUCCCUAUCUUUGCUUCUUGUUCAUUUGGGAAGAAUGGUUGUUCCCUAGGUUAACAUAGCAUACUUCACAGGACCACACCGCAAUAUGAAUAACUCCAUGCAAGAUUUCUCCCUUGACAGGCAAGAAAGUGCGACACAGAAAUGUUACAGGGAAGAACACAACCCUUGACUCAUUCACAGUUCCUCGCUCUCUGUCGAUGCUCUUCAAGUUAGUUAUUGAAAGAAAGUAACAGUGAUCCUUGCAAGCCUUCUCAUUUAUCAAGCCCUUCAACAGGCGUGUUACAAAUAUCACUGAAGAACCUGCAACUCGUUUCUAUCCAAACUUUUAGCAGGCACUGAUACAUCCUGAGCAAUUCCACUUCGAAAGACAUUUCUCCUCUACAUCAAAACAACUAAAAUAAGUAGGACUAUUAUAGAUUAACCAACCAGAAUUCUUCCAGAUUCUAUGCAUAUCAAUGCUGUUAAGAAAUCUAAUAGAAAAGAUGAACAAUAAUACAAUGAUGCUGAUACCAGUGUAUGCAUCCCCAAUUGCGCCAUGACCUGGAGGUUAAUUUUAAAGCUAAUCAAGAUUUUAAACUUAGUAUCGUAUCCAUAAUACAAUCCACAAAAAUCGAAGAACAAACCAAUAAAAAGGUUGUACCAAAAAGAGAUAAAUAACUAAAGGAUCAUUUUCAGUUACAUUGCGAAUGCUAUACAUUUUGAACAGAAUAAUUUAUUCCUAUCAACACAUCAGUGUUUCUUAUCAUUACACACAUCAGUAAUCUAUUUGGUUGUAUACAUACCUUCUCUUGCGUAUUGACUCAUGUUAGAUAUCUGAAGUAAUUUAUGCUAGCUAGCUCUUCAGUAACACCAAAAACAGCCAAAAGUACCAGCACUCUCUGCAGCUAACAUGAAAAAGAACUCAACAUUACCAACAAAAAAUUUCAAAAUUUGGAGGAAUGUAAACAAGUAUCAUAACCAUUUCUAAAGAUCCUAUUUCACAACAUUCACUAUAAAGGCCUACACAAUAUAGCAAGUGACUAGGAAUAAAUAAGAAUAUAGAACUCUCUCUCUAAUUCUCACUCUAGCUUUUAAUUGUCACUCAAAACCCCGAAUUUAUCCUUAAAAGUGUAAGCAAAUCAGAGAUGACAGCGUCUGGUUGUCAUACGCGCCUUUUAGUUUCCGGAUGACAUGGCGUACACUUCUUAUGUAAACCCAACACGACAUGUCGUACUCUUUGUUUUGAGAUCAUAUUUCAAACUCUUCAUGUUAUGAAUGAAACAUAAACUACAAUCAUCAAAACAUUUAGUGUUUAUUUGGUAAUGUAACGUCACGAUUGUUGUGAAUUGAAAUUAUUUCUGUAAAAUAAAAGGAUUUGGGUCAUUGUUUGUUAUUUUCUGGUAUUAUUUAUUAUAUAUUAAAAAUAAAUUUAUAUUUAUUAAGUAUAAAAAAUAAAUAAACAAAUAGAAAUAAAAGGAAAAGUUUAUACAUUACGUAAAAUAAUAAGAACAAUAUCAAUAUUUCACACUCUAUAAUUGAGUGAUGUGUUGUCCAACUGCCAUACAUUGGUCCCAAACGGAGACUUAAAUAUCAAAGUCCACAGUUAUUGUGAUGAUGAUUUAUAAUCGUUAAACUUGACAUUAUAAGGUAAUCAUGCAUUAUAAGGUGUUGAUUUCUUCCGGAACCUUAUUUUUCAUUUACAAAUAAAUAAAUGAUGUGACUUUCACAGAAUAUUCAUGCAAAAAACAAAAAACAAAAUAUCAUAACUGAAUUUCAAAUUGUCAAUGUUCUAUAAUAUAAAACAAAAAAUUUGUUUUUAAAAAAAAAAGAAAAAGAAAAAGAAAAGACCUCUGUUACAUGAAAAAGAAAUUUCCAUUCUAUAGAACGAAUAUUAUACUUUUAUAUUAGAAUAGAAGGACACUUUUCCUUGGUGCUACUCCAUGUAGUUCUUAAAAUUCGUACUUUAAUUAAUGUCAGUAAGUAAUAUAGGAUUUUUACAUGUAAUAGUUUUGUAAGUUUAGGAGUAAAACUUGGUCACAAUAGGACUGGACAAGUCUUGUGUUAAUAUUUUACUCUUUUUUAUUUUACUUUUAAAAGAUUUUCCAAUGCAUAUUAUAAUAUCUUCAAAAUAUUUUGAUUUCUAUUUUCUUUUCAGUUAAGAAGCUGAUAAUAUUUAUAUAUCUAAUUUCUCUGUUUUUAUAAUUUUAUUUUUUUAUUCAUUUUUUAUAAUCCAAAUACUAUUACCUUAGAUAUUUUUCCCCGCCACAGAUAACGUAGCCAUGCCAAAAUAGUCUUGAGAAAUAUGUCAGCGUCUAAUUGCUGCUGAGCUUCCGAAACCCAAAGCCUCAAAUUCGUAGCCUCAAAACAGUGGCAAUUCGAUGCCUGCUUUUUCACUAAAUUUAGUUUUUGCGCAGAAGAUCUUUAGCUAAUUAAUGAUAUGGCUCGAGUCCCUAGUCGCCAGUUCUGCCCAGCAACAGCCAUAUUCGAUUCGUUUCAAUCAUCCUUUUCAAAGUUCCACGGUACCCAUUUUCAUUUCUUCAGGUGCGGUUACACAAUUCCUCUUAAAAAUAAUUUCUUUUAUAAAAAUUCUUCUUCAAACUCUGCCCAUGAAAAAAACCCGCCAAGAAAAAUUUGUUCUUUAUCCAGGAAUAAAUUUUUUUUUUCUCAACAUGAUAAAGAUGAGAAUGCCAACUUAUGUUCUAGCAGCAGUUGGUUAGAUAAAUGGAACAAACCCAAUAAGUAUAACCGCCUGAAACCGCCUCAGGCACGCGUGAAUUAUAGAAAAAAUAAUGGUAAUGGUGUUGGUGGCGUUGAUGAUGGUGGUAGUACCAUGGGGAAAAUUGUGGAGAAACUGAAUAAAUUUGGUUACGUUGGUGACGGUGAUGGUGAGUGCAAGGAAAAGAGAGAGUGAUUGAAAAAGGGUCUAGAGAGGAUAUAUUUUGUUUGGAAAAAGGAUUGUUGCCGAAUGCAGGAGGGUGGUUUUCAAAAGAAUCCCCGUUGGGGUUAGGAGAGGAGGUAGGGAGUGACGGAGAAGUGAAGUUUCCAUGGGAGAAGCGGAAGGGAAGAUUUAUGUUACAAAUUUGUUUAAAAAUGUAUAUAUUGAUGCAUUCACUGCAUUUCUUUUUAACUUAAUUUCAAUUGAUCGUAUAUUACGUUGCAUUACGAUCCAAAUUGCUUCUUCAGAAAAUUAGUGAGAAAUUAUGAAAGAAAAAAUAAUUUAAUUUGCUUUCCAAUUCUAUUUUUUUCCCCAAAAUCAAGGCAAAUUAUGUGAGGCUCAAAAUAUUAUUUGUUUUGCCGUGAAAUUUAGAAACAAAAAAAAUACCUGGACAGAUACCGAGCACCCCACGCCUCAUUCACAGUGCGCAGGAAGAAGUUUGACUGCUGGGAAUACGAGAGGUAUGGAAUUGACCCUUGGCCGAUAUCCUUCAAGUUGGUCACUGCAAGAAAGAAAAUUUUUAGAAGGGAGUGCUAAAAUCUGAUUAUGAAUUGUUUAUAUGUCAUUUUUACCCUCUUUGAUUUUUCCUAAUCCCAAAAUAACCUUGCGUCAAUAUUUAAAUUUAAUUACCUUAUUAACUAUGAAAUAUUUAUUUGAAUUUUAGAAGACAUCUGUUGUACUAUGUCAGUCAUGCAAGUAUUAAAAUAAUAUCAUGAUAUGUGUGUAUUUAUUUUGUAAAUCAUCAUAUAAGUGAUGGUUGUAUUAAAUUCAAUUACACAUGUCAUGCAUGCAUCAAUUAAUUAUAAUACAACGGAUGUAUUCUAAAAAUUUUCCCCAAGAAGAAAGAGAAAGGGUGUCAACGGAGUUCGUGCAACGGAUACUCGAAAUGUGUCCAUCAUUGCUACUAUAAGUUAAUGACAAAGGUGAUUAAUAUUUUGUGAUAUUUAAUUACAAAAUAUUAAAUAAAUAUUAUAAUCUAUCAUUCCAUAAUUGGAAAAUUCUAUGAUGCCGUAAUUAAAUUUACGGCAUUGAUGCCGUAAUAGACGUGGACCGUUAGAUUAAAUCAACGACUCUAAAUAAUUAUAAUUUAAUAAAAAAAAUUAAUUAAAUUACAUAUAACCGGUUACAAGUCGGUUAAAUAUUAUUUUAAAAGUAAAAUUUUACCGGUUUAAAAUUAAAGAAAGGGGGUUUGCCUAUUACAAGAAUAAUAUAAUAUAAUGGGAAAAUUCAAUCCCUAAUCAAUGAAUUGCAAACGAAAGCCACACCCACCCCUGCGUAAACUUCCGUUCGAGUGCGCCGGUAGAUUGUAGCCAUCCUUGAGCCAAUUUUCUGCCUUCCAACUGCUGCGUCUCUGUUGUUGCUGUCUCUGUCCUGGUUUGUUCAUCAUCACUUGUGCAAGGUAAGUUAAUCCUUGGCUUCCAACUUUGAAGAGUCGAAGGUUUCAUGUUAUGCUAAGCAAUUUAGUUCCAGAUCUCUCAUUCAAUUUUAUAUUAUCUGAUAUAAUAUUCCUUCUGUGCACAAUUUUGCAUCUUUACUCUGUUUUCGUCCUCGGGCAUGAUGUGUGAGAGAGAGAGAGGAGCACAGAAACUAUAGAAUGAAUUUUCUGUUUUUUCAUCAUCUCUCUCUCCUCUUCUUUUAACUCUCAAUGCCCGCAGAAUUAAGCCAACAUCAAUAAUCAUGUCCUCUUUCCACAUGGCAUCUGAACAUAUGACCCUAUAAUGAUCAAUUUUAGGAUGUGGAUGUGCACGGCAGAUUUUUUCCACUUGCUUCACUCUGUUGUAUUUUAUGAACACUUGGUGUAUGACACAAAGUUGAGACCCUUUUUCUCCAAUGAUUGAUCUGAAUUGAUUUUUUUGAAAAUCAGAUGGAAUUCUUACACAAGAUGGAGAAAAUAGUAGCUUCAAAGAUUUAGAAAUUAGAAAAUUGACACCAAGGUGAAAAAAAUUAUUUAAGCUUUAUUAUUAGAAAUUUAUUUACAUUACAGCUGUAUACAUGGGAUUGAAUGGAAAGAGCCGCAUACAAAAUUGAAGAGACUGCUUUUGACUGUCUCACAAAUUAAUAUUUGCUUCAACUUGGGAGAAAAUAAUGACCAGUUAAUGAAUCAACAAGAUGAUCAAUUGUGGCAAGAAUGUAGAAGCCGCUGCCAUUUUAUGAACAAUUCAAAGUUGAAGUUAAGCUGACGAAGUAUUCUUCACUGCAUGGAAUUGUCAGACCGCCCAUCGGAUGAUCAAAUCCAAAUUCUUCUUCAGCCAUAUUUAGGAGGUCUUGGAAUAGAGGGUGAUUCAAAUAUGAUAUUGGAAUUACAAACCUCUUUCUAUAGCCUUCUCCAACAUAAAUUGCAAUGUGGCCUUUUGGCACAUUAUUUGUAUUGUUAGCCACAGCCAUUCUGAUCUUUGCUGAUAAAGUUCUCUGAAUCUUUUGUUUAGCAUGAGCGAAACCCAUCAAUUGGAUGCCCAUUUUAGCAAUGAAAGAAAGAAUGCUAUUGAUGAAGUAAAAGAAAAGUUUAUUUGGUUUGAAAUGGCAUCUUUAAUUAAUAUAAAAUAUUUAUAGGCAGAUAUGUGAAAACAAAAACAACCUUAACUGGAUAGGAAUGGGACAAUGAGAGGUCGUUGAAGAAUCAUGAGAAAAACAUAACAGGUGAAAGAAUUGGUUAUGUUUCACAUGGUAUUGCCAUGUCUAUGGUUAAGCAUUGUGCCCACCACAUAGAGAAACAAAAAAGAUAGGGAUGCAAUUUGUGUUUUUGCAUGAGAAUAUAUAUUUUCCUGUGUUAAUUUGAACUAAUUCUAUGGCUCUAUUUCGAAUACAUUUUAGUUUAUUCAUAGAAGCAUUGAAUUUAGCUGACUACGUGUGUUAUUUAAAUCGUGGGCCUUUUUUUUGGGUGUUAACUAGCCAACCAGCCAUUUCUUUGGGUCCCUACCAUUUGCCUAAACUGAUUUAAUUUGUCCGAACUUGCAUUUAUUGGCUGCUUUAUAUCAGCGAAACAUGAUUCUUCUUAGGGAAAAUUCUAUGAUGCCGUAAUUAAAUUUACGGCAUUGAUGCCGUAAUAGACGUGGACCGUUAGAUUAAAUUUUUAUGGUGUUUUGGGCUUCAUUUGUUGCUGUUUUUAGCUUAAAUUUUUUACUGUUUCUGGGUAAAUUGGCUGCUGUAUUUCAAUUUAUUUUUCUGUUGUUUUUAGAUAAAUUUACUGCUAUUUUUGGGUUAUAUUUUCUGCUGUUUCCAGGGAAGUAUUUUUGGUGUUUUGGGCUUCAUUUGGUGCUGUUUUUAGGUUAAAUAUUUUACUGUUUCUGGGUAAAUAUACUGCUGUUUUUGGAUAAAUUUACUGCUGUAUUUGGGAUGAUUGGCUGCCGUUUUUGGUUAAUUUUUUUGGUGUUUUGGGCUUCAUUUGCUACUGUUAUUAUGUUAAAGUUUCUGCUAUUUCUGGAUAAAUUGGCUGCUGUUUUUCAGUUAAAUUGUCUGCUGUUUUUGGAUAAAUUUAUUGCUGUUUUUGGGUUAAAUGUUCUGUUGGUUUAUAGGAUCCAAAACUUGUGAUAUUUGACAUUUCUUUUUGUGCCUAAAUCUUCAUGUACAGGUUUUUGUAAACUCGAAAAUGGCUGAAAAUGUAGAUGAGGGUAACGAGAAUGAUUUCAAGGAGAAUGAUAAUGUGAGCCAAGAAAGUGAAAUUUUAAGAAGAAAUCGGCCUUUCAUUGAGUAUUUGUAAGUCUUCUUACAUUAAAUAUUAUAUUUUUGACUGCUGGUAAAUUUAUGAAUAUUUAGUAAAGCCAAUCACUAUAAUGUUAACGUGCACUGAUUAUAUAUAUUUUUUCAAAAUAUUUAUAAUUGACUGCAGCAAGCAAGAAGCAAAAAUAUUACGGGAACAAGGAAAAAAAGUGGUGAGUGUAGGUGCGAUAAUUAAUUUCCAUUAAAUUUGGGACGUGUUACAAGCAAUAACUGAUUGUCAUUUUUUUUUAAUUUUUUAGGAUAGAAUUAAAUUAGGGAAAUGUUUCAAAAACUUGAGUGAAGAAGAGAAGGCUAAAUUUAGAAUGGUUGGUAGUGAUACAGCACGGAAUAAAGACAAAGAAGAUGAUUUCGUGAAGGGAACUCAGAAAGCCAUGGAAACUAGAUGCGCUCCAGAUCGUUUUGCAAAACUGGUAGGAAAAUUGUCAGAAAAUAAAAAAAAAGCUAUUGCGGAGUUGGGAUUUGAAAGUCUUCUGCACAUAAAAUGUGGUCGACUGAAACGAGAUUUAUGUUCAUGGUUGGUUCAAAAUUUUGAUCCAUUUACUUCAUGUAUUUUUUUGCAUGGUAAGAGUAUCAAUUUGUCGCCUCGAGAUUUUGAGUACAUUAUGGGAAUAAAAGAUGGUGGAGUCGACAUUGAUGUGGAUCUUGGUAUUGAUAACAUAGAUAAAUUGAGGGAUGAAUAUUUGGAUGACAGUGGAUACAUUAAGCUGAAAACUUUAGAGUCAAAAUUGGUGAAUCAAAGGGAGGUGAAUGAUGACUUUAAAAGAAGCUUUGUUUUGUUUGCUAUAGCUACAAUUAUUUUUCCUAAAUCGGGGUUGAAUUUAGCCCCGUAUUACUUGGUUUUUUUGAAAGACACCAGUGCCAUAAAUAAAAAAAAUUGGGCAACGUGGGCUUUUAAAGGGCUAGUAGAGGGCAUACAAAAGUUUAAGGCAGGACAACAUAAAGUUGUUAAUGGUUGUGUACUAUUUUUAGAGGUAAUUUUUUUUAAAAUGAUUUCAUCAAUUUUAUUGUGUUAUUUUUUUUUUUACUUUGUUUUGAUCAUUUUGUUAAUAUUGCAGCUUUUUUACAUGGAUUCUAUAUCAUUUGCACGAAAAUUUAUUGAUAAAUCUUUGAGUCCAAUAACUACAUGGACAAAUCGAGAUGUAACUAACUUCUUGAGUUUUGUUAAGAAAAAUGGCGGUUAUGGGAGCUCAAAGGUAUGACAUCUUUUUAUUAAUUAAAUAUUAAUGUAUCAUAUUGAAAUGACAUCUAUACAUCUUUUUAUUAAUUAAAUAUUAAUGUAUCAUAUUGAAAUGACAUGUAUUUAAUAGUAUGUGGUAUUAUUAGGUUAAUUUGCGAGAAAUCCAUCCUCAACAAAACACAGCCCAAGAAACAUUUGAUGGAACGAGUCGGAAGAAUGAAGAAUGCAUACAUAAUUGUCAACAUCAGAAGGAAUUAUCACUUGUUCGAAAAGAUAUUGGCCGUAUGGCAUUGGAGCUUGAUGGUUUAAAGCAUUCAAUGGGUAACUGGAUGCAGCAAAUGCAACAAGUAAUGGAAACCCUUAAAGAGAACUUAACCCAAAAGCAAGUUGAGCAGCAAAAAGAGAAUAAUGGCACUGCUGUUGGAAUUACUUCUCCUUCUCGAAAGCAACAAAAGAACGACGAAUCAAGCCAUGAAAUUUUAACUUUUGCCGAACUAAUGAAGAGAGCCAAAGAAAGGCCAGAUGGAGAUGAUAUUGUUGAGAAAAAAUUAUUGGAUGAGGAGAUUGUUGAAGAGAAAUAUGAUGAAAGAAUUUUGACGGGUGAGUCAGACCUAAAUGAGGGGAAGCGUACGCAAAUUUUCUGCAAUGCAGCUAUACAGGUAUUUAGCAAUAAAUUAUGAUAUUCUUUUUUGCACAAGUAAAACAUAAUAGUGCAUAGAUGAGUAUUAAGUUAUAAAUCAUAAUUUUUGUAGGAUAAUGGCCGAAAUGAGGAUUGUUUUGUUGAAGAGGAAUCAUCAAACCAACUUAGCGUAUUUGAGAUUAAAGAUAUGCGCUCCCGAAAGCGAAAGCCUGGUCCAUACCAAAAAUCACCUUAUAAUCAGUUUCCCAAAAGACGAAGCAAACAAAAAUUUUUUCAUGACUCAAUCACUCUACUAAAUUCAUUUUCAGAGGAAGAUAUGAAGAUGCUGCAAUAUAUAUUUCAAGGAGAAUUGCCUAUGGAGUAAUUAGAUUUUCUCAUGACCCACUUUCCAUAUGUUAUUAUUUUUGCAUUAACACUGUUAUAGUUUUAAUUAUAUUUUUGGAUUCUUAAUGUAGUGAGCAUAUUGUUGAUGGAAUUAGUUUUUUCGUCUCUCGCCAAGAGAUGUUUUCUUUGGCUCCUAAUACUUGGAUCAUUGAUACAGUAAGCAUACCUUCCUUAUAUUUAGUUUAAUCAUUCAAUUUAUUUAUUUUCUUUCUAAAGUAUUUAAGUCUUCUUGUUUAAUGGCUCUAUUCGUAGGUCAUAGAUUGUUUCGUCAACUACUUGACAAACAAAGAACGUGCAAAAACGAGCCUAGAGAUGCGUAUUUGGUAUUUGCCCACCAUCUUUUCGGUAAGUUGUAAAUGUUAUACUGUGAAUUUUUUUACUAACAGUUGACCAUAUAUGUUGAUAAUAUACUAAUUUUGUGUUUAUUUUAUGAUUUUUGCAGCAAAAAAUAGUUGCAAACAUGGCCUGCAAUAAGAAAUCAAGCAUCGAAGACUUUGUCAAAAAUCAUAAUAUUCGAGAUAAAUACAUGUCAGAACUAGCAGUAUGUGAAAAGGUAAGAAAUUAAAUGCAAAAUUACAAUAAAUCAUGCCACUGUUUAAGACAUUUAAUGGUAAUUAUUAAAAAUUAUGCAUUUGUCAUGUAGAUCUAUGUUCCUAUAAAUGAUGGCUCUGCACAUUGGUAUCUAGCGGUGUUGAUUGUUAAAACGCAAACCGUUGAAAUUUGGGACUCUUUACCUAGUACUACUUCGAAUUCACAUCGAGAGGAAAUUGUUAGAGCAAUUGUAAGUGAAGCUUGCAUUUCACCUGUAUUAUUACCAAUAAAUGCAAAUGUAUGCUGACUAUUAUCAUCAUUAUCACAGUUACAGGGACUCGAUGAAGUUUUCCUCGAUGAUUUUUUGGGAAAAUUUCAUUCAUGUUGGGAUUUUUUUAGUUUUAAAAUUUCAUAUCCAGAUAAUGUCCCAGUACAACCAAAUGGAACUGACUGCGGUUUGUUUGUGAUCAAGUUCAUGGAGAUGCAAUGUGAUCUAUUAUCUAUAAAACAUGUAUGUGACAUUAAUUUUAUAUCAUAUUGAUUUAAAGUUUUACAAUGAAUGAUGACUCUGUUUCUCACUUUUUUAUUUUUUCUCGUACUAUAUUUAGUAUAACUCAACAAUAGAAAGAUAUCGCAUUGCACUCCACCUUGUCAACGGAGAUACAAAUAAAGUGAGAGAUAGUAUUAGAUGUAAGGCUGAAGAAUUUUAUGAUUCGCACAAGAAUAAUCUUCCACCGAACAAAGUGACGAACAAAGUUAAUGGUCAAAAGAAUUUGAAGAAGAAAAAGUAGAGUCCAAAAGCUUGCAGCAUGUUAAAAGUAGGUUCUCUUUAACUAUUUCUUUCUUGCUUUUUUUUGCUCCUAUUACAUUUCAUGAUUUGUAUUAGUUAUUUAUUAGUUAUUGCAAUUAUAAUUAUUGUUUCACAUAAAAUUAAUUAGAAACAAUUCCCAAUUUGCAAUUGCGUACCGAGUAUAAGCAUAAUGUGGACUGGAAAUAAUCAAUGUUUUACUGCAAGUUUUCCUUUAUUCUCCAGGUGGCUCACAAUUUCCUCUUCAGUAACAUCUUGUGGGAAGGUGGAUCAUCUUUGUUGGGGAGCAGUAGUAACGAUAGUUCUUUGUUUUACUACCAUUCUAUAAAUUUUAUUUGAAAUUAGCAUUAUUCUUGGUUAUUUAUUUUUAUAAUGAUUCUAAUAUCUUGUUGACUAUUUUUUUAAGAUUUUCUUUUGGAAUUUUUUAGGAUCUGCUAUUGAUUAUUGUGUAAAUUCGAGAUGUGAUUAAAGUUUGAGUAUCAGUGCGUUUUGCUUUGCCCUUUUUCUUUUAAUUGCAGUUGUACCGUCUGUGAGCUUUGCCUUUAUUUGCUUUCAACCACAACACUCCAAUUUUUAUGUAUUAUUUUUUUUUUAUCAUUGUUUGACUCCAAACGAAAUACUCAAGUUAAUGAGCAUAGUUUAUAUUCAUGUUGUUACAGCAACAAAUGAAAUAAAUAUAAUUUUUAACACAAAUAUACCAUAAUAAUUUUACCAUUGACGGAUACAAGCAUAAAUAAUUAAAACAUAUGGUUUCAUUAAAAAAAAUCAAUUGUAAUCACCAUCUCAAUUGUAAUCAUUUUACCAUUGACGGACACAACAAAUUUUCAGUAUCCUGCCUCAUGGUCAAUACUUAUCAUUGUUGUAUAAAAUUGAAUGUGUUAUGAUACUGUGAGCUGUGAGCUGUGAGCUGCCAUCAUCAUUGUCCAAAACUCCAAAAGCUUUUACUACCAUCACUGCCUAAAUUGAAAAACAAGAAGCAAGCAAGGCCUAGUCAAUAAUAAAAAAUAGUUGAGGUUUUACGCAACCAUCAUGACUGUCCAAACUUGCUGCGAUAGCAUGAUAAUAAUCUAAUUAUUUAGAAAAAUAAAAUUGCAAGCAUAAUAGUAACCUAGCUAGAAAAAUAAGACCUAAUAUAAACAAGAUUUCAAACAUUAACCGAGUUAUUUUCAGAACAUUAUCUCAAAUCUAACUCCUACGCACAUGAACACGACACAUUAAUUUGCAACAAAUAAUUUUCAGAACAUUAUAAGAGAAACUAGAGGCAAAACGGGAAAAAAAUUAUAAUUUUAAAAUUACAACCAUAGUAGUAAUCGAUUUAUUUAGGGACAUUGUUAAUAUUUUGACACUGACAAUAAUACUCAACAUGCAAAACAUAAUUAAGGCUGACUUUAUACUUCUGGGGCUGGAUGAGUAUUAUUAAAAUAAAUGGGGUCAUUUGUAAUAUUUUGACUUAAUGGGGACUAAUUUGAAAUUAGCCGUAUUAAAACUUUUGCAACUUGUCUAGAAACGACAGAAUUUAAAUACUUAAUGGGGACUAGUUUGAAAUUUGCCAUAUUAACAACUUUUGCAACUUGUCCAGAAUACGUCUUUUCAUAAUUCAAUAGUUUCAUUCAAAUUGAAAGACUUAAUGGGUACUAAUUUGAAAUUAGCCAUAAUAAAAACUAUUGCAACUUGUCCAGAAUAAGUUGUGAAACGACAGAAUUCAAUAGUUCCAUUCAAUCCUACAAUUUCCUUGCCCAGUUUUUUCUAACGACCACAUAGAACACAAUGAAUGAUGAUCAACAAGGUAAUUCUUCAUUGUCUUUUAAUGAUUUGUUACUGUUGCUAUUAUUUUUUAUGUUAUUUUCUCUCUUGCUAAAAAGAGUAGUGUUGUUUAACCUUUUAAAAUUAAUAUUAAUUGUGUCUAUUAUAAUUUACAGGCUAUUGUCUAGCAGUGCCAUUUAACUUAAUGUAAUAUUUUCUUAUUGUAUUAUGACAGGCAAUAACAAAAAUUACAAAGUGCCAGAGCUUGAUGUUCCAUCAUCAUACGAUAUUCCUUCAACCGCUCAAGCAGAAAUACAAUCAGGUUUUUUAGUUGUUCAUAACAAAACAAUUGAACCAAGUUAUUUUUGUAAUAUUUUGAAUAACAGUAUCAGUUUAUUUUAGUUGUUGAUAAUAAAAUAAUAGAAUUAGACUAUUUUAGCUGUCAAUAAUAAAAUAAUAGUAUCAAUUGAAGUUUGCUACUCAUGAUAAAAAAAUAAUUAUUCAUACUCUAUUAUGACAGGGAGGGAUGGUUCAAACUCUAUUUAUUGGGAUGAUAAAAGCAUGUAUGAACUCACUGCUGAAGAUGUUAUUGGAAAGCGAUUUGCAUCACUUGAAGAAGCUACAGAUUUUUAUAAAAAAUACUCAAAAAUAAUGGGUUUUAGUGUUCGCAUUUAUGAUGGGAGACGUGAUACAAAUGGUGCACCCAUAAUGAAACAUUGGGUUUGCAGUAGAGAAGGUGAAAGGGAUAAAAAGUAUAUUGAGCAUACAAACAGAAUCCGUGAACCUAAAGCUAUUACAAGAGUCAACUGUCGAGCAGCAUUCAGGGUAAAUUUAGAUAAGGAGUCCAAAACUUGGGUUGCUAGAAGCUUUGUUCCGAAACACUCUCAUGAGUUGGCAGCAGAUUUUGAGACUCAAUUUCUUCGAUCUCAUCGAAUGGUUAAAGAUUCUGACAAUGCUCUAGCUAAUUCAAUGCAAACAGUUGGUAUAAAGACAAGUCAGAUUAUGGACUUCUUUGUCAACCAGGCUGGGGGUUAUGACAAUUUGGGCUUCGGAUUAAAGGAUUUAUAUAACAAUUUAGAUAAUAAACGUCGAUCCAUGAUACUCGAAACAGACUCAGAAGCUGCACUUGCAUACUUAAAUGCAAAAGCUGACAUGGAUCCAGAUUUCUUUUGUAAGUACUCUAUAGAUGAGGAGAAUAGACUUGCAAACUUAUUCUGGGCAGAUUCUAUUGCUCGCUUGGAUUAUAGUUACUUCGGCGAUGUUUUGGCUUUUGAUAGUACUUACAAGACAAAUGAGUAUGGGAAGCCUUUAGUUAUUCUAUUGGGUGUUAAUAAUCAUUAUGCAACAAGUUUUUUUGGCUGUGCAAUUCUCACGGAUGAGACGGUUGAGACCUACACAUGGGUGCUUAAAACAUUUUUAUGUGCUAUGAAUAAUAGAAAGCCUAUAUCUAUUGUGACCGAUGGAGAUAGAGCGAUGCGUAAAGCAAUUAAAAAGGUAGUUCCUGAAGCUCGGCAUCGACUGUGUAUUUGGCAUCUACAAAGAAAUGCACAAUCUAAUGUACAUAAAACGCCUGAAUUUGUUACAAGGUUUAAGGAUUUUCUGUUGGGAAAUUACAGACCCGAAGAAUUUGAGCAAUUGUGGCAGAACAUGGUGGAAGAGCUUGGUCUUCAAAAUAAUGAUUGGGUUAAGAAGAUAUACUCAAAACGAGAGAGAUGGGCAGAAGCAUUCUUACGGGGUCAUUUCUUUGGUGGCAUGCGCACAACACAGCGUUGUGAGGGUAUGAAUGCAUAUAUGAAUAGAUUUCUUCAAAGAAAGUUGAAGUUGCAUGAAUUUGUUCGUCAAAUUGAUCGAGCCUUGAGACGUACAAGGAAUAACAAUUUAGGACAUAAUUUUAAAACUAAGCAUUCUAUUCCAAUGAUUAGUACUCAUCUUCCAAGCUUGGAGAAGCAUGCUGCAGGGGUUUACACUCAAAAGUUAUUUUACAAGGUUCGUAAACAGAUUUACAAAGAAGGUCAGUUUAUAUUGUUGAGCAAUGUCACUCUUCUAGAUAUUGAAGUGUACACAUUAACUAGGCAUUUAGAAGCCAAAAAGAAGUGGACUGUGGUUUAUUAUCUAAAAGAACAACAUUUUGAGUGCUCCUGUAAGAAGUUCGAAUCUAUUGGAAUACCAUGCCCUCACUUAUUUUGUGUGAUGAAACAUAUGCAUGUUAGUGAGAUACCUGCUUCAUUGAUUAACAAAAGAUGGACUAUGGAUGUGAAAGUUUACAAACAAUCUCUAAUGCCAUUGGAAAGUCAAUCUAAGGAUGUUCUUAACAAUUUUCGGUAUGGGUCAUUAAAUGCCGAAUUCAAUGAAAUUAGUUUUUAUGCCUCAAAAUCUGAUGCUACCUAUUGGAAAUUAAAAAGUCAUCUUGCUCAACUGAAGAGUGAGAUAAAGGAGUUGAGAAUGUGUGACAACGGAGAUACAGAUAGACCAUGCAGUGCAGAAAAGAAAGCAAGAAUUGUAAAAGAUCCUCUAGUUGUGAAGACAAAGGGUGCACCCAGUACGAAAUUUAACAAAGGUGUCAACACAAGAAAAUGUGGAUAUUGCAAACAAGAUGGACAUACUGCACGGAAAUGCCCAAGUAAGAACGGCCAUGUUACAAGUGUGGACAACUUCGCUGGACCAUUAAACAGCUUCACAAAAUUUAUUUGGUAUGGGAAAAUAGGUCAUUAUUUCUAUAAUUUUUUUUUAGUCCAAAUCAAUGUGUUGUAUCAAUAAUUUUGUUCAAAUUUUCUGCAGAUUAUAUCCUAAGGAGGCUACCUCACUUGCGUCAAUGCACACAAAAUUAUCCUAAAAUAAUCUGCAUAUGCCUGAGGGUGUGGAUUUGGACAAGCUAUUUGCAUUUGAAGAAAACACAAUUUUGACCAAGUAUUUUUUAGACUAUAGUUAUGGCCAUGUGAUGUAGUCUUAUAUUUUAAUGCAUUUUUGGUUAUAAUAAUAAUGAAUAUUAUACCUCUCAUGAACCUAUUACUUUCUCCUACUUUGAUGACAAUGAAAUAUGACAGGAACCUCGAACAAUGUAAUAUUCAUGAAAUUUUAAGCUUACAAAAAAGGGCCUAACAAUGACAUUCUAAAUCUUAACACAUCAAUUGAUCUUAUUUCCUAAGAACUGCUACGUGCAUCGAUUAGGUAUCCUAGGACGUUUAUACAUCACUAAUAAACUAGUAAACCAUACCACAGUUACAAUGUAAUACUCUUUCUUACCUUGCUGAUUAGAAACUUCAGCGGCCAAAUGCCAACUACAUCAACUUUUGCUUCCCCAUAGCUGAGUGAAAUUCUUGUAGUUCCUGAAUCCAAAAUACAAGUAAGAGAAAUCAGUGCAGAUGUUUAUUUAUCUUGAAAUUCCUUUGAAACUGAGGCCCAAAGAGAAGCUAGAAUAAACAGUCAUGCAGGUUUUCUAUUUUAGGAAAAAAAAAGGAAAUUCUUUCUGUAGUAUACUUAUUAAGCAAGAUAACAUAAACCAUGAAUUACAAAAGCUGCCAACAAUUAGAAUAGGCGACCAAAUGGAAUUAAAAAUACGGGCACACUGUGUACAGAAAUUCUGCAGGAUACAAGGCCAAUAUAAUUUACGAUUUAUACCAAACUCAAUUGGCCAAACCUAUGGAAUUGGAAUGAUGCAUUUAUUUAACUCAAAAGGUAAAUAUCAGGCUUAAGGUUCUUACAUAUUAAAACAAUAAUAAUUCAUUCAUUUUGAACAUGAGAUGCAACUUGGACUAUUUCAAGUUAUUCCAAAAGAAAGCAUUAAAAGGAAUUUGUUCAUCCUACGUGGUAUAAGUAGUAUAUUUCAGUUAGUAUUAUACAUCAUCAGUUAAAUCAUUUGGACUAUUAACAUUGAUAACAACAAUAAUAAAAUAAACAUAUGUAGUUAUAAAAUAAAUAGAUAAAUUCAACUUCGGAUAAAUUUGGGUUGUUACAGUAACCCUCCAAGCCACCACUGUAUUAUAACCAAUAGACAUUUGAAUUAUAACAGAUAGACAAGAAUAAAAUGAAAGCCAAUAUUAUUCAUGCAGAAUUAAUCUAAUUUAUUUUUCAGUUAAGGUUAGUAACAAUUUAUCUGUAAAUAACUGAACCAACUUGGUUAUUACAACAUUACUUUUUCAAAGCGUUUAGAGCUCAGAAUAUCAAGACAACAAUUUGGUGGUUGGUUAAUUGAGUACCGGAAUCAGAGAUUUUUACUGCAAGAAUGCAAUUGUAAACACCACACAGUAAGUUUUCAAGGCAUCCAGCAUAUUAACUCAAAAAACCAAAUUCUCAUUACCUGUCUAACCCACCAAUUUUCUGCAUAGGCAAUGGAAAUCAGAAUACUUUAUAAUGUAUUCAGUAAUUGAAGUACCUCUGAUUAUUGUUUCCAACAGAACAAGGUAAAUCAUGUUGGCAAGAAUGCCUGAAAGUUUAUCUAAAUAACUAUCACUUGCUCCUCGCAAAACAAACAUCAAGCAUGGCCUGUUGGAACAUUUAUCCUUUUUGGUCUAAGGGUGUUGGGUUAGUUGACUCAAUUUUCCCCUUUUUGGUCAC